AGCGAACGCUGGCGGCAGGCCUAACACAUGCAAGUCGAACGAACUCAUCGUAGUUGGUUGCUGACGCGUGAGGAGCGCGUCGGAACGGGCCGUUUGGUUCGGGAUUACACAGGUUCACUUGUGCUAACACCGGAUAUGUCCUGCUAGUACAACAUUUAACGUACUUGUAGCGGCCCGCGACCUUUUAGCUAGGUGGUAAUGUAAGAGCUCACGAAGGCUUCGAUCAUUAGCUGGUUUGAGAGGCUGACCAGCGACACUGGGACUGAGACGCGGCCCAGACUCCUACGGGAGGCAGGCGUGGGGGAUCUAGCGCAAUCGGCGAAAGGCUGAAGGAGCCCUGCUGGGUGAAUGAUGAAGGUCGUAGGGAUGUACAAUUCUUUAACAGGCCACGAUACUGACGGUACCCGGAGAAGAAGCCCCGGCUAACUUCGUG
rnacentral:rRNA from 1 species